CCUACGGGUGGCAGCAGUGAGGAAUAUUGGUCAAUGGGCGGAAGCCUGAACCAGCCAAGUAGCGUGCGGGAUGAAGGCCCUAUGGGUUGUAAACUGCUUUUGUACGGGGAUAACACCCUCUACUUGUGGAGGUCUGCAGGUACCGUGCGAAUAAGGGUCGGCUAAUUCCGUGCCAGCAGCCGCGGUAAUACGGAAGGCCCGAGCGUUAUCCGGAUUUAUUGGGCUUAAGGGGAGCGUAGGCGGGCGUUCAAGUCAGCUGUAAAAUCGCGGGGCCCAACCGCGCACCGCAGUUGAAACUGGACGCCUUGAGUUCACAACAGGCAGGCGGAAUUCGUGGUGUAGCGGUGAAAUGCAUAGAUAUCACGAGGAACCCCGAUUGCGAAGGCAGCCUGCCGGAGUGCAACUGACGCUGAUGCUCGAAGGUGCGGGUAUCAAACAGGAUUAGAUACCCCAGUAGUC
rnacentral:rRNA from 1 species